GUAUGAAUAUGAAUAAAUCUAGCCGUGAAACAAACCGGAUAAAUUCUAUGAGAUUGGUUUACAUACAAAUUUCAGGAAACUGACUUUAGUAGAAGCGGAAAUGACGUCUAUUCACACUCCAGUCAGGAGGUGGCGCCAAAAUCAAAAAUAGACGCUACAGCACAUGGACUUCGCCAUUUUGCAUUGGACUGGAUCGUCAUCUCACUAGUCUACCAAAUUGUAGGUGAGUAAAGUUAACAAGUUUGAUGUGAUUAUCUUAAAUAUAAUUGUCUGUUGUUUAAUUACAUGUGUGACGCGUUGCAUGUUUCAGAGUAAAAUACACCUCACUACACAGACGGUCUGUUGGAAUGUAAGUUGCCCUGCAGUGUCUGUUGCUUUUAUUGGUUAAUUUUUGUGGUUUAAUGUUUGAAACCUAAGAAAUAAAUAAAGUCAUAGGCUACUGUAGGCUUAUCAGAAUAAAAUAAUCAUAAUCUCUGUGACUUUAUUAACAAAAGAAUGUUACAAUUAUACUAUGUUGUUGAGUGCAUUGUGUGUCUAACUAAAACUUUUUUUUUUACAGAUACAGCAUCAUUUCAUCGUCUAUAUGGUGGGACAACCUGCUAGACAGGUUGAAGACAUCUGUAUCUACCUCAAAGAAGGCAUGGAGAGACAGAUUAAAGAAUAUGUGAAUUGUGAAAUUGGUGAGUUGGGGAUUGCACAGACAGUGGAAGUUUUGCAAAACCUACUUGGUGUCACACAUGGGUGUGAAAUUACUUUUUGGACUCAUUUAUGCACUUAAACGGAACUACCAGAAGAACAUCAGGUGC